rnacentral:rRNA from 1 species
UACGGAGGGAGCUAGCGUUGUUCGGAAUAACUGGGCGUAAAGGGAGCGUAGGUGGAUAAGAACGUUAGAUGUGAAAGCCCCGGGCUUAACCUGGGAACGGCAUUUAAAACGGUUUAUCUAGAAGACGAGAGGGGAACGCGGAAUGGCGAGUGGAGCAGUGAAAUGCAUUGAGAUUCGCUAGAACACCAGAGGCGAAGGCGGCUUUCUGGCUCGCUCUUGACAAUGAGGCUCGAAAGCGUGGGGAGCAAACAGG